AAGGGCCAUUAACCCUUUCUCUGCCGGGCACACUCAGUCCCCACGCCCCACACCUAUUGUCUCCUGUGCUAGAAGCUUUGCAGAAAACCUGGAAAGUGAGUAUCAGUUUCCACACAUUUGCUGAGAGGGGUGAAGGGAGGGGGGCAGAGAGAAGGGGAAGUGGAUAUUUUAGAAAGCACCUUAAAUUUACCUAGGCAUACAUAGUAGGAGACUUUUAAGUUUGACAUAUUUUAUCAUUUCUUUCCUUGUCCUAUUGAUUUGAAAUUGUUAGGGGAAAUCCUGAAAUAAAGAAAUGGUCACACAAGUGUCUGGGAUGAAACAGCUGGCCUGUCUAUAUUCAUCCUGAGACACACGACUGCAUAUAAAUACAUGUUUAAUAAAGUAAGUUGCUAGUUUUAUGGGCAUGUGUGUGUGUGAGAGAGAGAGACAGGGCAUUUGUGCUGUAAACUUUAUCUUUGCCUGUUACUCCUAAGUCUGGAGUUAGUAAUCUUGCCUUCAUCAUUACAGGGGGAGCAUGUAAAAUAUAUCAGUAGGUGGGAGAUAAACACAUUCAUGUUAGCCGGGCUCAUCACUGUUCCUGGGAACUCCUGCUAUCUCUCUCUCGACUUUUCAGUGCCAAAGUAUGGAAUGGGAUAUAUGUGUGUAUGUGUCUUCUAUUAAAUCCAUGUCUAUAUUACUUUGCCACUAAAAAUACAAUUUUAAAAGUUAUCCUAAUUUAAAACCCUGAUAUCCUGACAGCAGUUUUCUUCCCAGCUGUAGUGCCCCCCCCUCCACUUUGGUAAACGACUCAAGUUCCAUGAGGACUUUCACUUCUUUAUUUAUAAUCACAGAAGUGAGGUGUUACUUCACACACAUACACACACAAAGAAUGAAAUAAAGAAAUGAAACUCGCUAAGCAGACAAAAACAGACAACUUUCUGCUUAGAAAACAGCCUUCUCGGUGGGAGAGGAUGAACUGCCAUGUCUAAGAGAAAGACUUGCCCCCGAAUUUGUAGGUCUGUAACUGACCAAGUUUUGUAAUUAUUAACAGGUAUUUGCCAAGUCCUAAUUGCUGAAUAUAAUGAAUUGGAACUAGAUGCGAAAAUAGAGCAGGACCUCUCCCCUUGAUGAGUUUUUAUUCCAGCCAUAUAAUUCUCAAUAAAACUUUUCCUGGGCUGGAUAGCAAAGGACACCUUUGGUUACCUGAAUGAACAGGUACAGGGGAAAUUAUUUGGGGGAGGGAAAAAGGAGAGAAAAGCAAGGAGAGAGAGUGUGAGUGUAAGAGAAAGCGAAGAAGCCACUCUUGAGAAAAGCUUGCCAUAAAGGAGCUAAACCCACCUGAAAUUCCUACCCACGGACACCCCUUCUCACUUCAGACUCACAUCCCCACUCAAAAUGAGAAAAUUAGAAAAGGAGGAUGGAGGACGAGCACACCAAAAAGGGAUAAAAAGAGAGAAAAGGGGAGGAAAAAAAACCUACCUGCGAAGUCUUGUUUGUAGUUUUGGCCAGAAAUGGUGAGAAGAAAAAGCAUGAAGAAGCCGCGAAGUGUGGGGGAGAAAAAGGUGGAAGCGAAGAAACAGCUCCCGGAGCAAACUGUACAAAAACCUCGCCAAGAGUGUCGGGAGGCAGGACCGUUAUUCCUGCAGAGCAGGAGAGAGACGAGAGACCCUGAAACACGCGCCACCUAUCUUUGUGGGGAGGGAUAAUUGAAGCGCCCUGAGCGUACCAGAGCCAGAAAAAAAAAUGCUGCAUGGGAGCUGCAUCUUAGGGCAUGUGUAUUAGGGUGUGUGCAUGAUGAAUUUCUGGACUGGAUCCCAAUAUUAAAAAGUAGUUUGGCAUUUUAAUAAAGGGUCUCUAAGUAAAUUAAAAUAGAACACUCGGUUGGCCGAUCUCUGAAUCUCUCUACACCUCGGGGAGACCUCACUACAAAGUAAGGGAGAGUGUGUAGGGAGGCAGGAGGAGAAACGAGAAAGGCCAUAGAGAAACUUAGCAGGGAAGGGAGAGCAUGAUAUUAAACGGCAUGGGGUCUAAGUUUUGGAGUAUAUAUUUUUUGAUAUUACAAUUAAAGUAAGAUUAAAAAGAAAAGACUCCACCUUUGCUCUGAAGGGAUUGGUUAUGCAAAUAUGGAAGGGAUUUCCUGGAGAAUACAGCUUUCUACUGUAUGGUUAAUUAAAUAAUCACUCAAAAGCUUCCAACGUGACGCUUCUGUCGUAAUCCAAUCAGGUUACAUAGGUCCUAAACAAGAAAGAUAUUUUCCACAUCUGGAAGUCAGCAAUUUAGCAAGUACUGCACAUUAUUAACCAAUUCAGAGCCCACUUCCCAGGGGAAUUUUUUUGAAGUUUAAGUGUUCUUAACCAAUGCUCUGCUGUUUUGUUAAUCAAAAAGCUGGUUUACACUGCACAUAAUUGGAACUAAUAUAGAAGUAAAUAAAGACAGCCAAAUUUGAGGAUGCUGAGCACAGGCAUUUAUCGGAAAAGGAAGAAAUCUCCUAUCCUCGGAUGGUUCAGGCUCAAUUUCUUAAAUAACUGUGAGACUUUUUUUUUUUUCCUAAAGAGUGAAAGUGCUUGAGAACCUCAGAGCACAAAUAAACUUCUAGCCUCACAGCAUUUAGGAUUCUUCGGAAAGGUAAAGGUGGAGGUGUUAAGAGGACCAGAGAGCUGCCUCACACCAAUUUUUAAGCUUUAAUAUUGUUAAAUAUGUUACACCCUCCUGUUUCCAGUCUGAUGAAAUCUGAAACAAAUAAUACCCUGAUCCAACACUAUAUUAAGAUAAACUGCUUUGAACUGUGCUUUGAAUGUGUGCCUAAAGCAAGACUUUGAAUGCAAGAGUCACUGGCAAUUGCACUCAAAGGAGGGACAAGCCACCACAUGGGUUGCCACAUCCACACUCCCAGAGAAAGCUUCACAUGUGAGAUAAAUGCACUCAAAGAUUCCUCACAAGUAGCUCUUUGGAGCUUCAGAUGUGAAAUGGAUCAUUCCUCAAUCUGUAAUAGACCCUUCUGUGAAGCUCUUCAAUCAAACCAGAGAAUUCAAGAGUUUCCAACACCUAAGAGUGGUAUUUGGCAAAUGGUGGGCCAAAGGAAUAAAGAAGGCAUGCAAAACUCUUGACAGAAGACAUUCAGAAAUUGAUUUGAUAUCAGAUACAAGGAGAAAAUAUGCCAGUAAGAAAAUGCAUUUUUCAAGAUUAAAUUCGGCAUUUGUUACUUAAUAGCAUUUGUCAUAUUCCAAUUUUUCAUAUGUAGUAAAUUCAUUUCAAAUCAUUUCGCUCUUCCAAGUGCCUUUGUGUAUUGUAUUUCUUUUUUCACAUCCUUUUGGAUAACAUUUGAGA
rnacentral:lncRNA from 1 species